UUUUUUUUCCUUUUCACAAGUAGUCAUUCACCUAUUUUAUUUUAGAUCAUCGGAUCCAAGUUCUGCACCAGAAGCAUAUGAUGCAUGAACAUAAACUUUCAGAAAAACAAGAUGAAGUGUUAAGCACACCCAUGACUAUGACAGACGUAAAAGUUUCAGGGCCAUCUGUAAAAACACAGUUAUUACCAAGUGGAGUGCACAUUGAUGUGCAAGAGAUGCGAUCUUCUAACAGUGUGACAACAGAAGCAGCUCAGGUUUCUAAGAGUUCUUCAAUGCUGAUUAUUAACAAGCUGCAGAAGAUUUUCCCAAAUAUACUUUUGGACACUCAGACAAAAUAUAAGGAAGUGGAUAAUGAAAAAAAAGAAGACGGUAAAAAGAAAAGGAUGUUGUUUCCUGAUUUGGAGCAAGAUAAAAAUACUGGUAAUAACAAAGACAGAUUAACAAGAACUAAUAUUACUAUAAGAUUCCAUUCCAAUGAUAAUUCAAGCCAAACUCAGAUUGAUAUUUACAAUUUAAAAAAUUCAAGAGCGAAUCCUGAGGUGCAUAUUGUCGCCAGCAAUAUUAUUGACCAACAAAAUAAAAUAAAUUCAGUAGUAGUACAAGAUGAUGUUUUGCAAGUGACAGUAAACAGUUCGCUGGAUAAGAAAAUACAGAAUAAUACAAAAGUAAGAGAAAAAAGUCUUGCAAAAAUUGAGGCUGGAAAUAUGGAAAGAAACUCCACAGGUAGCAACAGGAAAAAACUUCUUAUAGCAGAUUUGACCACCAAUAGUAUGAAAAAAACAAGUAGUCAUUCAGCAUUUUCUGAAGAAACUUAU
rnacentral:lncRNA from 1 species